AUCCGGUAUAAAUUCCACACGCAGGAAAGGCGCACGCACACGGAUGGAAUAAGCGCGUUUUUUUUCCUCAUUUCUUUCGCCUUCCUUCGUGGGAAUGAAUAAAAUGAGUGUCCCGUCAUCGUCCCCCCCCCAUCCCUCGGUGCCCACCCCCUGGAAAUAGAGGGGCACACACACACGGAUCUGCUUGGCCGCCGUCUGAUAGCAUUGGAUUCUGCCCUCGUAACGCCACGGAGCUCUUCUGCCUUCCUCCCACCCGCCGCCUUCUCUCGGUAUGAGCGCAAUGCUGCUGCUGUUUCUCCACCGGUGUCUUCUCGGAGCAGAAGAAGCGCUCCCAACGCCGGGCAGCGGUGGAGGGGAAUAGUUUAUAUCAAAAUGAGCACGUGAUCCCCAGGUGGGAAAUGUCGCAGCCGUGCUCGGAAAUACAUUAAACGGAGCUCAGAAGUCCCCGCUCCUGCUGGCCUUCGUCCCCAAUGGGAGCACAGCUCAGCGCUGCUCCCUCUGCACACAGC
rnacentral:lncRNA from 1 species